rnacentral:misc_RNA from 1 species
AAAACAUGUAUAUGGCUGCCUAUGAUUGGAGGAUCUCAUUUCAGAACACUGAGGUGCGAGAUCAAACCCUAAGCAGAAUUAAAAGUAACAUAGAACUCAUGGUGGCUUCAAGUGGUGGGAAAAAGGUGGUUAUAAUUCCGCACUCAAUGGGUGUUCUAUACUUCUUGCAUUUCAUGAAAUGGGUAGAGGCGCCAGCUCCAAU